UCAGACCCCCGAGUAUUUUUUGUUCUCGUACCACUGUCUGAAUAAAAGUUGUAUUUGGUAUCUAUUUAGUUUGACAUAAGGACUAUCAAUCGUUACAUUAAAGUCUCGCGUGUAUACGUGUGCACCAAUUGAAUAACUUUAAUUCACAAGAUAUAUACGUUUUGUAGCAAUUAUUAGCAAUCUUGCUCACUUGUUCAAAAUAACGUUCCCUGUAGCUGCACCAGACAUUUCAAAUUUCGCGCGCUUACAUUCCAAUUUUUCUCUUUUUUUUAGCGAAAGUCGAGAUAUUGUACGCAUCAGAUAUAUUUUGUAUUUACAUAAAUGUUUUUGUUAAUAUUUGCAAGCAGAAAUGAGUAUUUUUAGUUAGGAUUAAAAAAUAUUGGUUGACGUCUGCGGGACUGGAACCACUUUUGCUUGUUUGUUGCUCGUCGCGUCCAUGCCGCCUCCCGAAGGGCCGAGUUUGAAGUCAAAUUUUUCUCUUGUGUGAAUGGUGCUUGCGCUCUGUGCUCGUGUUGUGGGUUCUGCCAGUGCUGCUUAUUACGAAGACUCAAGCGAAGACCUGCUGCUUCAUAUCGUUGAGCCGUCGCCGAACGAAAACAGGCUUCCGGGUAUGAAUCUACUAGAGAAGGAACACCGUGGCCCCACUUCUGUCGAAGGAACCAGAGUCGCCUGGGCAGCUGAAGAUGGAUUGUGCAACCAGCAGUGAACAGCUGUGAUCUUGUAAUGUGCAAGUGUAUGAACAGUCACGUUAAGUUAAUCUAACACCAAUUACAUUACCUUGUCAAAUUUUGUGAUUUUGUAAUGCGCAAGUUUAUACACAGUUACAUAGAGUGAGCUGUAAAUACGCCUUGGGCAAGUUUGUGAUCAUGCAGUUUGGCGGUGUUUACAGCACAUGCGUUCGACAAAUAUUAUCACUCUCUUACUUUUCUUUCCUUUUUUUCAGUUGUGUAUGUGCACUGUCAACAGCGUCAAUAUGCUUUUUUAACUUCUGAUGCCUCAAAUGCAAAUUUUUAUGGUUCCAGUUUAUGGUUCUUAACCAAUAUGUAUGAGGGGAAGUCAAGAAGUAAAGGCACAUUUGAGAAAUGGUACACUUAUUCUAAUGAUAGAAAACUGAAGCAUACAUUAUUUUUUCUACAUUACCUGCCUGCACUUCAACACACUUUGUGCAACGUUUCACAAGUUUCUUGAUUCCGUCGGAAAAAAAAAUUUUUUUUGGUUGCACCUGUAACCAAUUUUGCACAGCAUCAUGUCUUCUGCGUCAGUAGCGAAUCUUCUUCCCCCGAGUGCUUCUUUCAAUGGUCCAAACGUAUAAAAAUCGCUUGGAGCCAGGUUUGGACUGUGUAGUGGGUGUUCCAGCAAUUCAAAACCCAACUUCUUUAUUGUUUGGCAGUCCUCUUGGCAGAAUGUGGCCGAGCAUUAUCUUGCUUCAGGAUGACACCGUUUCGCAGUUUUCCAUGACAUUUGGAUCUGAUUGAAGGUUUCAGUUUCGUUCGCAACACAUCACAAUAGUUCACACUGUUCACAGUUUUGCCUCUUGGGGUGAAGUGAACGGCUACGACACUGUCCUUGUUCCACAAUAGUGUUAGCAUAAUCUUAUGAGCUCAUGGUUGACGUUCAAGUUCCUUAAAUUCUGGUGAUGACUGUUUCUAAAUUAUGCUCGCAGCUUUACCUUCCGGUUUGUGAUGAUGUACCCAAGUUUCAUAUACAGCAACAAUUUGCUCUAAAAAAAUUCCAUCUCCCUC